rnacentral:rRNA from 1 species
UACGUAGGGGCUAGCGUUAUCCGGAAUUACUGGGCGUAAAGGGUGCGUAGGCGGUCUUUCAAGCCAGAAGUGAAAGGCUACGGCUCAACCGUAGUAAGCUUUUGGAACUGUAAGACUUGAGUGCAGGAGAGGAGAGUGGAAUUCCUAGUGUAGCGGUGAAAUGCGUAGAUAUUAGGAGGAACACCAGUAGCGAAGGCGGCUCUCCGGACUGUAACUGACGCUGAGGCACGAAAGCGUGGGGAGCAAACAGGAUUAGAUACCCGCGUAGUCCCUGAG